rnacentral:rRNA from 1 species
GAAUUGCUAGUAAUGGCAGGUCAGCAUACUGCCGUGAAUACGUUCCCGGGCCUUGUACACACCGCCCGUCACACCAUGAGAGUUGGGAACACCCGAAGCCUGUGAGCUAACUUAUAGAGGCAGCAGUCGAAGGUAGAAUCAAUGAUUGGGGUGAAGUCGUAACAAGGUAUC